rnacentral:rRNA from 1 species
GUGGGGAAUAUUGGACAAUGGGGGCAACCCUGAUCCAGCCAUGCCGCGUGUGUGAAGAAGGCCUUUUGGUUGUAAAGCACUUUAAGCGAGGAGGAGGCUUACCUGGUUAAUACCUGGGAUAAGUGGACGUUACUCGCAGAAUAAGCACCGGCUAACUCUGUGCCAGCAGCCGCGGUAAUACAGAGGGUGCAAGCGUUAAUCGGAUUUACUGGGCGUAAAGCGCGCGUAGGUGGCUAAUUAAGUCAAAUGUGAAGUCCCCGAGCUUAACUUGGGAAUUGCAUUCGAUACUGGUUAGCUAGAGUAUGGGAGAGGAUGGUAGAAUUCCAGGUGUAGCGGUGAAAUGCGUAGAGAUCUGGAGGAAUACCGAUGGCGAAGGCAGCCAUCUGGCCUAAUACUGACACUGAGGUGCGAAAGCAUGGGGAGCAAACAGGAUUAGAUACCCUGGUAGUCC